rnacentral:rRNA from 1 species
CCUACNGGUGGCAGCAGUGGGGAAUAUUGGACAAUGGGCGAAAGCCUGAUCCAGCAAUGCCGCGUGUGUGAAGAAGGUCUUCGGAUUGUAAAGCACUUUCGACGGGGANGAUGAUGACGGUNCCCNUAGAAGAAGCCCCGGCUAACUUCGUGCCAGCAGCCGCGGUAAUACGAAGGGGGCUAGCGUUGCUCGGAAUGACUGGGCGUAAAGGGCGCGUAGGCGGUUUAUGCAGUCAGAUGUGAAAUCCCCGGGCUUAACCUGGGAACUGCAUUUGAGGCGCAUAGACUAGAGGUCGAGAGAGGGUUGUGGAAUUCCCAGUGUAGAGGUGAAAUUCGUAGAUAUUGGGAAGAACACCGGUGGCGAAGGCGGCAACCUGGCUCGAUACUGACGCUGAGGCGCGAAAGCGUGGGGAGCAACAGGAUUAGAUACCCCCGUAGUC